GAUGAACGCUGGCGGCGUGCCUAAUACAUGCAAGUCGAGCGAACGGACGAGAAGCUUGCUUCUCUGAUGUUAGCGGCGGACGGGUGAGUAACACGUGGAUAACCUACCUAUAAGACUGGGAAACUUCGGGAAACCGGAGCUAAUACCGGAUGAUAUUUUGAACCGCAUGGUUCAAAAGUGAAAGACGGUCUUGCUGUCACUUAUAGAUGGAUCCGCGCUGCAUUAGCUAGUUGGUAAGGUAACGGCUUACCAAGGCAACGAUGCAUAGCCGACCUGAGAGGGUGAUCGGCCACACUGGAACUGAGACACGGUCCAGACUCCUACGGGAGGCAGCAGUAGGGAAUCUUCCGCAAUGGGCGAAAGCCUGACGGAGCAACGCCGCGUGAGUGAUGAAGGUCUUCGGAUCGUAAAACUCUGUUAUUAGGGAAGAACAUAUGUGUAAGUAACUGUGCACAUCUUGACGGUACCUAAUCAGAAAGCCACGGCUAACUACGUG
rnacentral:rRNA from 1 species